CUCACUGUUGUGGCCUCUUCCGUUGCGGAGCACAGUUUCCGGACGCGCAGGCUCAGCGGCCAUGGCUCACGGGCCCGGCCGCUCCGCGGCAUGUGGGAUCUUCCCAGACCGGGACAUGAACCCGUAUCCCCUGCAUCGGCAGGCGGACUCUCAACCACUGUGCCACCAGCGAAGCCCCCUUUCCUUCCUUUUUAAGGCUGAAUAAUAUUCCAUUGUAUGUAGAGACCACAUUUUGUUUAUCCAUUCAUCCAUCAAUGGACACUUGAGUAGCUUCUACCUUUUGGCUAUCGUGAAUAGUACUGCCACGCACAUGGGUGGACAAAUAUCCCUUUAAGACCCUGCGUUCAUUUGUUUCGAGGAUAAGUGGAAUUGUUGGAUCCUAUGGCAAUUCUAUAUUUAAUUUUUUGAGCAACCACCAUACUAUUUUCCAUAGUGGCACACCAUUUUGCAUAUUUUAUCUACUUUGAAGUUGAAAACUUGAGGUUCAGAAGUAUCAAGUAGCUUGCUAAUGUGUAAAAUGUGGUAGAGAAAAAUUUCAAGUAUGUCUAUUGAAUUAGUUUCCUAGGGCUGCCAUAAGAAAUUACCGCAAACUGGGUGGCUUAAAACAGAAAUUUAUUCUCUCAAUAUUCUGGAGGUUAGAAGUCUGAAAUCAACAUGUCAGCAGGGCCCUGCUCCCUCUAAAACUCUGGGUAGGAGUCUUCCUUUUCCUAGUGCUUGGUGGUGUCCAUCAAUCCUGCAGCUGUGUCACUCCAAUCUCUGGCAUUCUCCUGGGGUGUCCUUCUCCUCAUUUAUAAGGACACCAGUCAUGUUGGAUUAAUGGUCCUCCCUCUUGCAACAUGACCUCAUCUUAACUUACAUCUUAGUUACAUCUGCAAAUACUAUUUCCACAUCAGGUCACAUUCCCAGGUACCAGGUGUUAGGACUUCAACAUAACACCUUUCGGGGGUACAUAACUUAAUCCAUAAUAUCUGUCUUCCUCCAAAUUCUGUGAUAUUUACCAUACUUUUGACCUCUUAAUGUGAUAAACUACUAGACUUCCCAAUAGAAAGCCAUGCUUGCAUUUAUGGGACAGAACUUAUUUGCUAUUAGUGGAUUAUUAGACUAUAAGCUUGGAGGAAGGCAGACACAAUAGACUUCUUUCAUUCAUCCCUUUGCCUCCAGUCAUUAUACAAAAACAAAAAACAGUAUUGGAAAAGUGGUAUAGCUUUUCCAGUGCCUUUAUGGGGAAAAAUCAUUUGAACAGUUGCUUGGGGAAUUAUUUAGGUGGUAGUUUUUGUUGUUCCUUUCUCAAUUUCCUGCCAAUCAGGCUGUUGUUGACAUCUCUUGGACACACCCACCAGCAUAGUGCCCCAUAGAGCGGAAGCGCUUAUUUACCAUGUAUUGAAUGAAUGAAUGAAUGAAUGAAUGAAUAGAAGGUUCAUUGGCUCAGCACUGCCCCUGCCCCCGUUUUGCUACUACUGUUGUGUCUUGAUGACCAGUGGCUCCAAGUGGCUCGUGGCUCCUCCUCCCCCUAAAGCCUCCUUAAGCCCCCUGUGUCCACUCUUGAAAGAGCCUUGGUCCAGGCAGACCUAAUCACCAGCCUACUCCUGCCUGGGUAGGUCCGCAAUACAUCCCCUUCUGGCAAAAGACCCACUUGAAACAUCCAUCCCUUCUGGAGCUUGCAGAGAGUGCACUGCAGUUUUGUUUUUAACGUCUGCAGACACAUUGCUGACUGACAAAUAAGGACAAGCCACUGAGCAUGGACUGUUGUCUGAACGCCAAGAGCAAAGGUUGUCGUAACACAUUUAUUUCAAGACCUCAGCAUGCUGCCCUGUUUGCUGGAAUCUCCAGUUAGGUAGGCUAGUGUUGUAGAUGGGAAAGUCAUCUGAGAUUAGCACGCAGUGCCUCGUGCAAACGCCAACCUCCCCCCGUCACCCCCACUGAUGGAAUACCUUAAUAACUGGCCAUUUAGGAUAAGUUAAGGAAAAGACUUGGGCAUUUAGCCAGGAGUGUUGGUGACAGAAACCUAACUUAUGCUAAAAAAAAAAAAGAAUUACAUUCUUAGAAAGCUUAUGUAACCGAACAAAAGGAAAUGUAGAGGUGGAACUGGGCUUCCAAGAUGACAAACACCAGGGACUGAAAUUUCACCAGUAAUCUCUGUCCUGCAUCCCCCCCUCUCUCUGUGUGUGGAUUUCUGACUUUACAUUUACUCCGUUUCUUGUAUAUGGGGUGGGGGGGGACAUACGCUACAUUUGCCCUGAAGUACAUCUCCAUACGUCUUCCACUGUAGGUAGGCAGGAUUGCCACAUAUGGUUGUGCAGGUUGUGUACUGCCCAACUCAUGGACGUGCCAUUCACAUCACAGACUCUGGCUGAAAAGCAGAGAUGUUAGGGAUACUUGGCUGAACAUAGAAAACACUUGAUGUUUUCCUAGCACAUCCUUCUCUCGUCCAGCAGAGUCACCCUACGUUCUACCAUCCUGAAGGGAGGGGUUCAAAAAUCUCCAUUCUAAUCCUUAAAUGGUGGGCCCUUCUAAUGAAGACUCUUGGGAAUAUCUUUAAAGGGCAACACUUUGGGGAAAUUUUCCCACCAGCUUCAUGAGGACAAGCAGAAGAUAAUUAAACCUGUGACAGUGUAACCCGUGCAGGUCCAUUAGAAUAAGAGAAAGGUUUGCAAGAAGUAGAGGGGCCUUCUGAGAAAUGCAGCCCUUAAUGCCACAAUCUUGGAACUCUCAAUCCUCAAAGUUAUUUUCCAGGCCAAAGGAUAGGCCCUUCUACCUUUUCACAGCUGUGGGAGGAGUCACCCAUCUCAGAGGUCUCUCAUCUCACGGGUGGGUUGGGAGGUGUUGAGCGUGCCUAGGUGCAUAGGUGUUAAGCAUGCAUAGACUUCAGAGUCUCUGUGGUUUGCCCUGCUUGGGAUGCUUGGCCAAGACCCAGCUCCUUCCUGGAUGAGCUCACUUGGCAGGCCCUACCCAGUGAUGCAGUGGGCGGAGGGUGGGCAGCAACAGUGAAAGGAAGAGGAGUCUGAAGGUGAUCGAAUCUGAGCUGGGUCCUCUGUUAAUCUGUCAUCACUGACCAAGGCUGCUUCCGCCUGAAACUUACCAAUAUACUUUUACGAUGUUUAGGUCUACAUUACUGAAUAAAUUAACCUGUAAUUUACUUUUCUUUCAUUAACCUUUUCUAAUUUGGGGAUUAUGUGAACUGACAACUGUUCUCUCUUUAUAAUCUGGGAGACUGUGUAAGUCUACAAAUCUUUGUAGAAUUUACCUAUUAAGACACCUGGGGGCUUCCCUGGUGGCGCAGUGGUUAAGAAUCCUCCUGCCAAUGCAGGGGACACGGGUUCGAACCCUGGUCCGGGAGGAUCCCACAUGCCGCGGAGCAACUAAGCCCGCGCGCCACAACUACUGAGCCCGUGCUCUAGAGCCCGCGAACCACAACUACUGAGCCUGCGUGCUGCAACUACUGAAGCCCGCGCGUUGCAACUACUGAAGCCUGCGCACCUAGAGCCUGUACUCUGCAACAAGAGAAGCCACCGCGAUGAGAAGCCCGCGCACCGCAAUGAAGAGUAGCCCCUGCUCGCCGCAACUAGAGAAAGCCCGCGUGCACCAACGAAGACCCAAUGCAGCCAAAAAAAUUAAUCGAUAAAAUAAAUAAAUAUUUUUAAAAAUAACAAACAAAUAAAUAAAUAAAUUUAUAUAUAAAAAAAAGACACCUGGGUAUGAUGUUUUCUGUGUGGGAAGAUCGUUAACUGAUUCAAUUUGUUUAAGUGUUAUGAAAUUAUUUAGGUUUUCUAUUUUUCCUUAAGGCAAUUCUGUUAAAUAUAUUCCAGGAAUGUGUUCAUUUUACCUAAAUUUAAAAUUUUAUGGGCAAAAAGUCAAACACAUUGUUCUCUAACUUUUUACCCUCUGCUGACUGUACAAAGCCCCUUUUCCCAUUCCUAAAGUUGUUUGGCUAUGUUGCUCUAAAUAUGGUUAUGCUCAUUUUCUGCCAUUUUGGUUUCUAUUCAUUGUUUUAUUGAUUUUACUUUAUUUGGAUCAUUUCAGUUGUCCUUUUCCUCAUUUUUUUAAGCCCUCAGGUACCAAGAGCAGACUGAGACACAUGGACGUUUUCUUACAUUUCAGAAUCAAGUGAGUGCCUCUCCCAUUGCAACAAUGAGAAUUUCUUUCUUCUCUUGUAACAUUUAAAGAUUCAUCUAUUACAGGCCAUGCAAUGAGAUGCCCUAUCCAGUUUCUAACUUCUUCACAUCCCAACACAUGUAUCCACUCCCCCAUCCCUUCCCCCACAUCAGCUUGCGCGUCUUCCUUUUCCUCCCUUUUCUGAACAUCUUCCCAUUCCCCCUUUCUGUUUGAGUCCUCAAAACCCGGCUAAGGUACACCACCUACAAGAAACCACCUUAGUUUGGAAAUUGAUUGAAGUAUGAGUCCACUCAUAGCUCCACAACUAGCCUCCAAGCUCCUUUAGGAUCCCUGCUCUCUCACACUCGAGAUACAUAAUUAAGGAAGAAAGUAUAAUUUUCCCAGCUUGGGUCCCACGCCCAACCAUUUCUCAGGAGAGGGCAGGACACCAUAAUUGAUAUUCCCAACAAGACUGAAUUCAACAGGAAAAGUGAAUGCCACAAGAAAAUCAGGGAGAAGGAGUAGACAGGUCAAAACUACAGAUGUCCUAGCCAUUUAAUAUUCAGAUGGGUGGUUGGGAAGAGGAAAGGAUGCUUGGAGACUUGGCAGGUCAGAGUUUCAGUUCUCAUCCACAAGGGGGCGCAAGGAACCGCUUGCGCGGGUUCCGCCCUGGGAGCUGCCGCUCUAGGCUGCAUCCCGCACCUCAACUGCAUUUCCGCUGGCGCUCAACCGCUGGAAGCCGAGUCCUGCGUCCUAGUCGCCGGGAACCGUGCAGCGUUUUCUCACGUCGUCCCCUAUGACCUGCAGCCGACAGUCCCGGCGCGCUGGGCUCAGUGCCUGGCAGGUGUCCGGUGCUCAGCAACUGUGGAACAACUGCCCAGCAGGAAAGAAGGAAAGGACAGACGCAUCCCGGUAGGUGGCGUGGCCCAUCAUGUCAUGGAGAAUCAGGGAAAGACUGCUUGUCCCUUGGCAAGAGAUGGAGCCCAGUCCACCAGGGGAGACUUUCCCCAUGGCCUGCGGUUAUGGUGGCAGGAACCAGAGCAGUAUUGUAAUUGGACAAGACUUAAAUAGACCCCAGACCUCACCUCCGCAGAGGAGACCCUUGAGAGGCGUCCCCAUCCUGUCAAGAAGCGGCUGGACCACGUGCUACUGAGAUGAGUCCACUGUGUGCAGAGGUGUCAUGGAAGUUGUCUUGUCAGGAGUGGUCUAGACCCCAGUGUCCUUGAGCUUGAAGGAAGACGAGGUGACGUUGGAGAGUUAUCCCUGGUCCUGACCUCCUGCCCCGUGGCCUCCUCAUCACUCUGGGGUGCUGCCUUGGAGGAAGCCUCAAGGGAUGGAAGCUCUGGCCUCUCAGGAUGGUGACCUGGGUCCCAGCUCUCCUGGAGGGGCCUCCUCAUGGUUGUUUUGGGGCUGUUCACGGCUGCUGGCGCAGCAGAGUGAAGAGGGACGUUGCCGCUGAUCGUCACCAGGCCUUCUCCUCCUGUUGCCUUAGCACAGUGUGGAAGGACUCUGCCCCCGUGAGGGGGGCAGAGGGAAAGUCCUGGGACUCUGGGGGCUUGGGAUUCAGAACCGGGGACCUUCAGCGGGCUCUGCCCUUCCCAGCAGGUGCCACAGAGCACCGUGGACCCAGAAGUCUGCUUUCCUUCCGUCUGGACCAGGUCAUCCAGUGGCCUCUGUGUGCCCUUGUCUGCUCCUGGUGUAACUUUUUAGAAACAAGGGUUCCCGUUGGAGUCUUCUGUGCUGGGCAUCGUGUCCUCUCACCCACUUCAAUAAAUCUUGAAACUGC